UGAGAUAUUCAAGGCAGAGAUAACAAUCUGGUCAGUCUGAAGUGGCCCUCAGAUUUUUCACAUUAUCUAUAACGUAGGUUUGUAUAUGGCCGCCAACGCAGUCAGCAGUGGAAGAGUACAAAAGGGCCAUCUGUGCCCUAGAGAUCCAAAGGACCCAGCCUGGAGCUCACUGUACAGUCCACUGGAAGGCCAUAUCAGGAAGCCAAAGAAUCCGAGCAGAAAGGCUGGAGUCUGUACUGGAAGGUGAUGAAAUUCUGCCAUUCCUCUACUGAGAGAAGAAUAAAAAACAACAACAACAAAAAAAUUGUAUCAUCAAGCAAAAGGACCUGAGAGUGAGAGAACUGUAUAAAUAUACAUUGUUUAAAUAAUUUUUAUCCUCUUUCAAGCUACCUGUAUUUUAAGUUAUUUUUUCCAUAAUUAUCUCUUUAUUCAACUAUGCAUUAUUAAAAUAUUUAAGUCUUGCCAAGUCUUUAGGUCAUCUAAAGUUACAUUAAACAAAGUUUUAUUCUUCUCUCCUGUUAACCUGAUUUAUGUGAAAUUAAUUUGCACACCCAGCCAGAAACUCUAGGAGAGUAGAGGUGAAGUUUUGUGUUCUGUACAGCACAAAACACAUGAAACAAUCACUGCAAUGAGAACAAUAGACAUUUCAUCAUCUCCAAAUGGUUCCUCAUAUUCCUUGUUUUUUGUUUGUUUUCUUGUGAAAGACCACAAUGUGAAAUCUCUCUCAACAAAGUUUUAAGUGCAAAAUCCAAUAUUGUUAACUUAGAACAGUAUGGUGUGUAGCAGUUGGCUAGAAUGUGUGUCCUCAUCUUGCAUAAUAAAAUUUAUACUGAUUGAACGCUUUCCCCAUCUUCUUAAUCUCUAGC